rnacentral:rRNA from 1 species
UACCAUUUGUGGCCUCGGCGGAUCAUCCCGCUCCCGGUAAAACGGGACGGCCCGCCGGAGGACCCCUAAACUCUGUUUCUAUAUGUAACUUCUGAGUAAAACCAUAAAUAAAUCAAAACUUUCAACAACGGAUCUCUUGGUUCUGGCAUCGAUGAAGAACGCAGCAAAAUGCGAUAAGUAAUGUGAAUUGCAGAAUUCAGUGAAUCAUCGAAUCUUUGAACGCACAUUGCGCCCGCCAGUAUUCUGGCGGGCAUGCCUGUUCGAGCGUCAUUUCAACCCUCAAGCCCCCGGGUUUGGUGUUGGGGAUCGGCGAGCCCUUGCGGCAAGCCGGCCCCGAAAUCUAGUGGCGGUCUCGCUGCAGCUUCCAUUGCGUAGUAGUAAAACCCUCGCAACUGGUACGCGGCGCGGCCAAGCCGUUAAACCCCCAACUUCUGAAUGUUGACCUCGGAUCAGGUAGGAAUACCCGCUGAACUUAAGCAUAUCAAUAAAGCGGAGGA